rnacentral:lncRNA from 1 species
AACUUGUGUUAGCAGAGAUAGGUCCUCCCCAGGAGCUGGGGUUAGCAUUCCAGACUGCAUUGUUCUUUUCUCUGCUUGGCUUCCCCAUCUCUGUUUCCUCAGCCUAUUGACACUACUGCUCUCUAUUCAGGAUUUAUCUUCCUGUGCCACAGUUUGGAAAAUGCCCCCGGUGGAGUGGCAGGAUGAACGUCAUGAUGACACCUGAAGGCCAGUGGUCCCUCUUCAGGUGGAACAGCCCAAACUGGCUGGAUCUAAGAAGGCUGCAGGGUGAUCCCAGACAACCUCCCAUUUCAUUACAGUCCCAUCACAUGCUCAUGGACACACCCUCAGCCCCAUGACAAUGGAUGGCUGCCAUGAAGGUGACAAAAAAGAACCAUAGAAG